rnacentral:rRNA from 1 species
UGGGGAAUUUUGGACAAUGGGCGAAAGCCUGAUCCAGCAAUGCCGCGUGUGUGAAGAAGGCCUUCGGGUUGUAAAGCACUUUUGUCCGGAAAGAAAUCCUUGGCUCUAAUACAGUCGGGGGAUGACGGUACCGGAAGAAUAAGCACCGGCUAACUACGUGCCAGCAGCCGCGGUAAUACGUAGGGUGCAAGCGUUAAUCGGAAUUACUGGGCGUAAAGCGUGCGCAGGCGGUUUGCUAAGACCGAUGUGAAAUCCCCGGGCUAACCUGGGAACUGCAUUGGUGACUGGCAGGCUAGAGUAUGGCAGAGGGGGUAGAAUUCCACGUGUAGCAGUGAAAUGCGUAGAGAUGUGGAGGAAUACCGAUGGCGAAGGCAGCCCCCUGGGCCAAUACUGACGCUCAUGCACGAAAGCGUGGGGAGCAAACAGGAUUAGAUACCCUGGUAGUCACGCCCUAAACGAUGUCAACUAGUUGUUGGGGAUUCAUUUCCUUAGUAACGUAGCUAACGCGUGAAGUUGACCGCCUGGGGAGUAC